rnacentral:rRNA from 1 species
AUUUGUCUGGUUAAUUCCGAUAACGAACGACACCUUAACCUGCUAACUAGAUUCUUCUAUACUAUAGAUGAUAUCUUCUUAGAGGGACUAUGUAAUACAAAUACAUGGAAGUUUGAGGCAAUAACAGGUCAGUGAUGCCCUUAUAUGUCCUGGGCUGCACGCGUGCUACACUGAUGCAUACAACAAGUGCCUAACCAGACAUGGUAUGGCAAUCUCGAAUAUGCAUCGUGAUGGGGAUAGAUCUUUGCAAUUAUAGAUCUUGAACGAGGAAUUCCUAGUAAGUGCAAGUCAUCAUCUUGCAUUGAUUAUGUCCCUGCCCUUUGUACACACCGCCCGUCGCUCCUACCGAUACCGGGUGAUCCGGUGAACCUUUUGGACUCAUUUGGGAAAGAUAAGUAAACCAUAUCACCUAGAGGAAGGAGAAGUCGUAACAAGGUUUCCGUAGGUGAACCUGCRGAAGGAUCA